AGUCAUGUAGCUCAGUUGGUAGAGAAUUAAACUCUUAACCUCAAGGUCUUGGGUUUGAGUCCCAUGAGUCCCAUGUUGG